GGGGUCGGCCGGGCCCGGGCCUGGCUCGGGACUCCCGGCUCCCCGGCUCCCCGGCUCCCCGGCUCCCCGGCUCCCCGGCUACGCGCCGCCCCGGGAGCCGCCACCGCCGGAGGGAGGGCCGAGGCCCGAGCAGCCUCGAGGUGGCUCCCCGGAGCCCGCGGAGGACCGCGAGCCGGGAAGGUGAAUUGAGGCGGGCGCCGGCUCGAGGCUGCACCUGCCCGGGUCUCCCCUACACUGUCCGGCCCAGAAGGCCUGGGUGAGCGGGCCGGGCGGCGGUUCCGACUGCGCGGAACGGGUGAGCGGGAGCGAGGGGGGUCGCGGCAACGCUAGAAGCCUUAUCUCCAGAAUGAAAACGCCUGAUUUCGAAAUGGUUUCCGGAAAGGACUGCGGCGGGGUGAGGGGCUGGGGGAGGGAGAAGAAUGGCGGGACGUAGAGGCCGUUAAACAGCUGCGAGACACGCACGAUCCCGAAGUGCCCCUCGAGACGCAGGUUCCAGGCGCUGGGGAAAGGCCAGGGCCCACCCGGCUCCUGGGGACGCUUACCUUCUAGGAGGGUGGAGGGGUUUACGCAGACGGACAAGGUAAGGACAGACUGGUGAGGCUGUGCAGGAAAUACAGAAGAAGGAUGAGGGUGGUGUGGGCGAGACCCCUUUUUCUGGAUAGGACGGCUGGAGGACCAACCUCUAGAGGGAAGUGAUCGCCGAGCAGCUUCCUGGGGAAAAGGCACCAAAUGCAUUUAGACACAGCCUUACAGACAGGGACUGUAGGUUCCAGAACCUGCUGAAUAACCCGCCUCUACAGCCUUCCCAGGGCUCUCUGUGCCGUCCCCUCUUACGCUUUCCAAGGCUUGCUCACCUCUUGGAGUUGGUGGGGCCUGGGAAUAUGGCACUCUUCGGGAAGGUUCCAGGCCUGAGUUAGGGAACGUUGGUCUCCAGACAGACAUAAACAGGUGCUUCAUCACAGGGAGAAUUACACCAUCAGCCUUGAAAGACAAAUUCUUUAACUUUUUACCAUUUCUUUUUUCCGUCACUUUUUCUCAGACUCAUGAGUAAACAUUAAAACUAUGAUUUUUUUUUUUUUUUUUUUAAACCUGGGAUCAAGAAAAGUAUGGAGCGCCUGGGUGGUGCAGAAGGUUAAGCAUCUGCCUCUGUUCAAGUCAUGGUCCCCCCGGGAUCCAGCCUGGCUUCAGACUCCCUGCUCAGCGGGAGUCUCCACCCGACUUGUGCUGUCUCUAGCACACUCUCUCUCUCAAAUAAAUAGAUAAAAUCUUAAAGAAAAAAAAAAGGAGGAGCUUAAUCUUUCCAAAAGAUUGUACUGUUAUGAUCUGAAUAAAAGAAUUAGUGGCCUAUUUUGCUAAAUCAGUUAAAGUCAAAAUAAAAAGCCGACUUGCAAAAGAGAGGACAUAUUCAGGUAUUAAUGCAUUAUCUGAAUAAUACUAAUAAAUCCAAUAAUGUUUAUUAAAUAUUAGUUUAUAUAACUGCAUAAUUAUUUAACAAUAGAACAAUUGUUUGGAUAAUAGUAGGAUUAGAUUCUCUUGCCCUUUUUAUUUAACCCUUAGCCAUUUGUUUUGACACAUAGCAAACUAUUAGAGAAAGAAACAUUUUGUUGUGUCUUCUGGGAAAGCUGGGAAGGAACUCACCUUUAUUGCUACCUAUUCUUUGCACAGCAUUGUGCUAGGCACCUAAAUAAUUAUCCCUUUCAGUACUAAGACCAACCUUGAGAUUUGUGGAUUAUUAUUUUUUUAAGAUUUUAUUUAUUUGAGAGAGAGAGGAGCACGAGAUGGGGGAAGAGUCAGAGAAGCAGACUCCCCACUGAGUAGGGAACCAGAAGCAGGCUCAAUCCCAGCCCUCCCAGAUCAUGACCUGAGCUGAAGGCAGACACUUAAUCGCCUAAGCUACUCAGGUGCCCAGAGAUAUGGGGAUCAUUAUACCCAUUUUAGUAACAAAGACCUUGAGAUUAGGAGAUUAUGACUAGCCUACGAUAAAACUAGUAGCUGGAAGAGUUAGAAUUUGAACUCAGGUCUUUCUAGCCCUAAUUCCCUUUUUACUUUGCACCAUAUUGCUAAAACUCUAAUUUUUUUAAAAAGAUUUAUUUAUUAGAGUCACAGAGAGAGAGAGAGAGAGAGAGAGGCAGAGACACAGGCAGAGGGAGAAGCAGGCUCCAUGCAGGGAGCCUGAUGUGGGAGUCGAUCCUGGGUCUCCAGGAUCAAGCCCUGGGCGGAAGGCGGCUCUAAACCACCAAGGCACCGGGGCUGCCCGCUAAACUCUAAUUUAAGAAGGAAAUAUAAGUGAAGUGUCCAGUGUCUAUGUUGCUUUAAUAAGCUUUAAGGUAUAAUGAUAUGAGACAGUUUUGGAGCUUCUCUGUUUUUGCUUCUCCCUCUAUAGGAUAUUUGCCAUCUAUUUGGCACCAAAAAAAACUGCUCCACUUGUUUUAAGAGUUGAUAAUACCUUUUGUCUUUUGAAUGCUCCCAAGAAUAUGAUAAAAUCGUGACACUAACAGUUUGUCAUGGCAAAGGGGUCCUGCCUUAAUGUGUCACUCUGAAUUAUUUCACAAGCAGUCUUUCUUUGCACAUUGAUAUGUGUUCCCAGAUUUUUAUGGAAUAUUGUGACAUGUGAAUGCCCCCAGGACUGUGUAGGCUGGCUACUCUAGGGACAUGUAAUAGAUGAAGGAAAAUCUUGCAAAUGUUUAUACAGUUUUGAGGAAUGAGGUGAUAGGAUUUGUACAUUUUUGUUCCUUUCAUAUCAGAUCUUUCACAUUUUUCUUUGAUGAUGUCAAGAGAAAAGUUUUCCUUUCUCAAGAGCAAACACUCAUUUUUGUGGGUUUUCACAAAAUUAAGUUGUUUUUUUGCAAACACUACUAUUUUUCACUCUAUACAUCUCUAGAAAAUACCAUUAGUUCAAACAUUAAAAAUAGGUUAACACUUUUCAGAGUCUAAUAUUUUUAUUAGUGAACUAUGUGUCUGUCUUGGAAGCAUUUUUAAAAUUUUGGUUAACUCCUCACAACCCUAUGGAAAUCUGGCAAAGAAAAAAAAAAAA
rnacentral:lncRNA from 1 species